rnacentral:lncRNA from 1 species
AUGUUUUUGCCAUCUUCUAUACAUGUAUUGAGUGAAAUUACUGUACAUUUUCAUUUCUUUUCUACCUGUAUCUAAACAAUGCACUUUAUACGAACUGCUUGGGAUCAGUUGCAGCCAGACACAAUAUGUAAAUGCUUCCAAGGAAUUGAUAUUAUAAAAGAAGAAACCGAAGUUUGGUUAGAAAGUGUUGAAGAUGAUACAUUACUUGAUGUACCAGAAGACAUUGACUGGGCACAUAUUUCAGAGGGAAUUGAAUUUGUUAGUUUUGUUGAUUGUGAUAUUGAUGUUCCCAUAUGUUGUGUGCAGAGUGGUGGUAAUAUAAUUAUGGAAGUUGUGCUACCAUCAAUUGAAAGUAGUAAUUCAGAGGAA